rnacentral:rRNA from 1 species
GUGUCAGCAGCCGCGGUAAGACAGAGGGUGCAAACGUUGUUCGGAAUCACUGGGCGUAAAGCGCGUGUAGGCGGCUGCGCAGGUCGGGCGUGAAAUCCCGUGGCUCAACCACGGAAGUGCACCCGAAACCGCGUAGCUGGAGUCUCGGAGAGGAAGGUGGAAUGCUUGGUGUAGAGGUGAAAUUCGUAGAUAUCAAGCGGAACACCAGUGGCGAAGGCGACCUUCUGGACGAUGACUGACGCUGAGACGCGAAAGCGUGGGGAGCAAACAGGAUUAGAAACCCCUGUAGUCC